rnacentral:lncRNA from 1 species
CUGUAUUCAUCCAGUAGAACUGCUGACUCUUAUUCUUUGGCGCAGUGGUCACAUUACAUCUAGAAACAAAGGCAGGCCUCUAGUGUUUCCUGACCACCAGUUACUGCAGUAUACGCCCAUCUCUCGUUUUAACCACCAUCAGAUGAAGCAGAAGCUUUAUCAGAGCCAGCAGAGAGCGGCAUUGUGUUCCCGGGCUGCAGAUGAGGCUGAGGACUCCCGGGGUGAGGCGGAGAAGAGCAGGGCUCUAGCUGAGGCUCGGGCCCUUGGGUGUCAGCGGGACAAGGAAGUAGCUGAGGCUGACAGGAGGCGGCUCAAUGAAGAACUUCAGCAGCUUAAAAAAGAGCACACAGAUCUGCAGGUUGUACUGACACAAACUGAGAGGAACUACUUUGAAACCAAGCUCAAACUAGACCGGGUGACUGGGGAAAAACAGGCCCUGCUGAAGGAGAACAGAAUCCUGGAGGGAGACAGAGAUGACCUACAAAACAAGCUAAGACAAGUCACACAAGAGAACAUCCAGAUUAAAGAGAGUGAGAUGAAUUCACGGCGUAGAGCGACGGCAUCACAGGAGGAGAGCAAAAAGGCCAACCAGGCUCAGCGGGAGGCCGAGGCAGAGAAACGUCUGGCUGAGAAGGAGAGGCAGGAGAGGACAGCCGAGUGUCUGAGCUGGAGGGAGAAGCACCAGGAGCUGGCCGACAGGUUCAGAGCCCAGGAGGACUUCAAAGCUCUGAGGCAGAGCAAAGCAUGUCAAGCCAACAUCAAGAGUUAUUUCCUCUGCAUGACAGAGAGCAACCAGAGGGUUAGAAUCCUCAAAAAUCAAGACGGCACGCCGAGAAAUUUCACGGUGAGAUUCAACACUAACGCAUGCUGCUGCUGA